GGCAUGUUUCAGGGUAGAUGGGUUAAGUCCGCAACGAGCCACCCUGAUUUAGUUGCCAGCAUUCAGUUGGGCACUUAAGGUGACUGCCGGUGACAAACCGGAGGAAGGUGGGGAUGACGUCAAAUCAUCAUGCCCCUUAUGACCUGGGCUACACACGUGCUACAAUGGACAGAACAAAGGGCAGCGAAACCGCGAGGUUAAGCCAAUCCCUGGCUGCCUUGUUCUCAGUUCGGAUCGCAGUCUGCAACUCGACUGCGUGAAGCUGGAAUCGCUAGUAAUCGCGGAUCAGCAUGCCGCGGUGAAUACGUUCCCGGGCCUUGUACACACCGCCCGUCACACCACGAGAGUUUGUAACACCCGAAGUCGGUGAGGUAACCUUUUAGGAGCCAGCCGCCGAAGGUGGACAGAUGAUGGGGGU
rnacentral:rRNA from 1 species